rnacentral:rRNA from 1 species
AGUGAACGCUGGCGGUAGGCCUAACACAUGCAAGUCGAACGGCAGCACAGGAGAGCUUGCUCUCUGGGUGGCAAGUGGCGGACGGGUGAGGAAUACAUCGGAAUCUACUCUGUCGUGGGGGAUAACGUAGGGAAACUUACGCUAAUACCGCAUACGACCUACGGGUGAAAGCAGGGGAUCUUCGGACCUUGCGCGAUUGAAUGAGCCGAUGUCGGAUUAGCUAGUUGGCGGGGUAAAGGCCCACCAAGGCGACGAUCCGUAGCUGGUCUGAGAGGAUGAUCAGCCACACUGGAACUGAGACACGGUCCAGACUCCUACGGGAGGCAGCAGUGGGGAAUAUUGGACAAUGGGCGCAAGCCUGAUCCAGCCAUACCGCGUGGGUGAAGAAGGCCUUCGGGUUGUAAAGCCCUUUUGUUGGGAAAGAAAUCCAUCUGGUUAAUACCCGGGUGGGAUGACGGUACCCAAAGAAUAAGCACCGGCUAACUUCGUGCCAGCCGCCGCCGUAA